GGCCAGUUAGCUCAGUCGGUUAGAGCAUGGUGCUAAUAACACCAAGGUCACAGGUUCAAUCCCCGUUUGGUCC
rnacentral:tRNA from 1 species